AUCCAGGAGGAGGUGGCGGCAUGGGGGAGGUGGGCAUGAAGGGGAGGAGCGCCAUAGGGAGGUAGCAUGGGGAGGCAAGGGGGACAGCGCUGGUGAGACGGCGCUAUAAGGGUGCGACAGCGAGGCAGCGUUGUAAGCGGGGUGAGUUCAGGAGCAAGUUUUAGAGAACUCAACUACCCAGUCCACGUCACCUAGCUGGAAUGCAGCAGGUGCACCGAGGUGGGUUUCAUCGUGGUCAACGUCGAGCAGGGCUUUGUCAUGGUCGCUGGAUGUUGUAGUUGAUUACUGAUUUUGUUUAGGUUAAAAGAGCCCAUUUGUGUAGCUGAAUUGUGGAGUGUUAGUUCGAAUUUCUUAUAAAUUCUUUAUAAAUCUGGUUUGAAUAACUUGAUUUGUGGCAUAAAGGGAGAAGAAUAUCAUAUGAUUGUUUGAUCUCA